UUUAAUAUCAGGUUAGUGGCGGACGGGUGAGUAACACGUGGAUAAUCUACCUGUAACACAGGGAUAACACUGUGAAAACGGUGCUAAUACCGGAUACCUUACUAAAAUCGCAUGAUAAUGGUAAGAAAGAGAGUAAUUGGUUACAGAUGAGUCCGCGGCUGAUUAGCUAGUUGGUAGAGUAACGGACUACCAAGGCGACGAUCAGUAGCCGGCCUGAGAGGGUGAACGGCCACACUGGGACUGAGACACGGCCCAGACUCCUACGGGAGGCAGCAGUGGGGAAUUUUCCGCAAUGGGCGAAAGCCUGACGGAGCAACGCCGCGUGGGUGAAGAAGGCCUUCGGGUUGUAAAACCCUGUCUUAUGGGAAGAAGAAAGUGACGGUACCAUAGGAGGAAGCCACGGCUAACUACGUGCCAGCAGCCGCGGUAAUACGUAGGUGGCAAGCGUUGUCCGGAAUCACUGGGCGUAAAGCGCGUGUAGGCGGUCACCUAAGUCUGAUGUGAAAGCCCGGGGCUUAACUCCGGAAGUGCAUUGGAUACUGGGUGACUAGAGGGCGAGAGGGGAAAGCGGAAUUCCUGGUGUAGGGGUGAAAUCCGUAGAUAUCAGGAGGAACACCGGU
rnacentral:rRNA from 1 species